rnacentral:lncRNA from 1 species
GGCGGGGCCCCGCCCCAACUCCGCCCAGGUCCACGCCCCCAGGGCGCUUCAUGAAUAUGCAUGAGCCGGUUGGAACCCGGGAGUGGGAAGCCCGUGCAGAAUUCGUCCCACCGUCGGCAAACAGGCGCGGCCCAGCACUCAAUUAUUCAUGAGGCUUGCAGAUGAGGGGCCCGCCCCAGUCUCAGACCGGGGCGAAACUGACGCAAUUCAGCCGGGAGCGCUCGGGUAAAAUGGCCACCGAGACGACUGCCUAGAGAAACUGCCUUGGCGGCCCCUCCCGGGCUCCGCCGCCUGCACAGAGCACAGUAUCAUCGAGCUACGCCGGCAAGAAGGUAGCCGCCGGCUGACUGAAGCGGCUUCCUGAUACAACCACCUGAGUGCUGAGAACGCGCGCAACGUGGCCACCCUCCUGUGUCAAUUCAGAUUUAGAGCCACCGUGAAGAAGUCUGGCAGCUCUGCAUUCCUCAUUAGUGACCUUUAUCUCCUUUUAGGCCCCUUCUCAGACAUGGGUUCCUCCCUACACUGAAGUUUGUAUACCCCCUUCUUCCCGUAAGAACAAAAGCUUCACAUAUAACUCCGUACUUUGUUGCACCACCACCAGGCUGCAACCACCACCACUCUACGCACACGCUCAUCCUCCCCGACUCUCCAGGCUCAGGUUUCCACUCCCCCGGCUGCGGGAAGGACAGUCAAUCCUGAUUUCAUUAUCGAAAGCCUUGGAAGACCCUUGACUCAUAGACUCUCAGGUGGCCCAUCCGGGCAGAGGCGGGUGAAAACCAAUGCUCGUCCAGCCGGGAACAGAACAGGAUGUACCUCGAGACUUGCUUCCCGGCUGGCCAGGAAGGCCCUGCCCAGUCUGACCAGAGCAGUAAACACCACCAAUAAAAGUGGGAGCAACACACCAAGGCUACAAAGAAAGCAUGAGGACAUGGUUUCCAAAGUCAGUUCCCUUUAUUAAAUCAUUUUCACAGACCAGAAAUACAAAAU